rnacentral:rRNA from 1 species
CCUACGGGAGGCAGCAGUGGGGGAUAUUGCACAAUGGGGGGAACCCUGAUGCAGCGACGCCGCGUGGGUGAAGGAGCGUUUCGGCGCGUAAAGCCCUAUCGGCAGGGAAGAAGGAGGACGGUACCUGACUAUAAAGCCCCGGCUAAAUACGUGCCAGCAGCCGCGGUAAUACGAAGGGGGCAACCGUUAUCCGGAUUGAAUGGGGGUAAAGGGGGGUCAGACGGCAGCGCAAGCGAGGAGUGAAAGCCCGGGGGUCAACCCCGGGACUGCCCUUGAAACUUCGCGGUUGGAGUGCAGGAGGGGCAGGCGGAAUUCCUGGUGUAGCGGUGAAAUGCGUAGAUAUCAGGAGGAACACCGGUGGCGAAGGCGGCCUGCUGGACUGCAACUGACGUUGAGGCCCGAAAGUGUGGGGAGCAAACAGGAUUAGAUACCCUUGUAGUC